GGAUCUGAGAACCAUGAUCUAUCUAACAGUCGAGGGGCAUGUUGGAAGGUUUCGAGAAUCAUAGUUAAUAUUGGGAAAUUCCAAACUACAGGAAUUGAUGUGGAAUAUUUCUAGAUAUAUAAGGGCUAAGUAUAGUUAACGCAUUAAGAAACAACAAUCCCUACUGUCUGUCUUCCUUGCAGCUACUGACCGUUAACCUCAGCUUCCAGCUCCCAGGCUCAGCCGCCACAGGUUCCAUUUUGAUAUUUUGUUCAAAAAAUGAAGAGAAUGACAGCACUAGGAUUUGAAGGUUCCGCAAACAAGAUAGGAGUUGGGGUUGAUACAUUAGAUGGUACAAUUUUGUCAAAUCCAAGACAUACUUAUAUAACCCCAGCUGGUCAAGGUUUUUUGCCAAGAGAAACAGCCCAACAUCAUUUGCAACAUGUUUUACCACUUAUAAAAUCUGCUUUAGAGACUGCGGGAAUUACCUCAGAUGAAAUUGACUGUCUUUGUUACACUAAAGGUCCUGGUAUGGGAGCACCUUUACAAGUGUCUGCUGUUGUUGUUAGAGUUCUUUCACAGCUGUGGAAGAAACCAAUUGUUGCUGUUAAUCAUUGUGUUGCACAUAUUGAGAUGGGUAGGAUUGUUACUGGGGCGGAUGAUCCUGUUAUUAAACCUUUGAUGGGUUUCGAUAGCUGAUCUUUCGUUUGUUAUUGCUUUGUCACCGUGAUUUUCAAAGAAUUUAUUUUUUAUUUA